rnacentral:rRNA from 1 species
CUUGAAUAUCUAUAAGAGGUCCAGCCUGCCCAGUGACUCUGUUCAACGGCCGCGGUAUCCUAACCGUGCGAAGGUAGCGUAAUCACUUGUUCUUUAAAUGAGGACUAGUAUGAAUGGCACCACGAGGGUUAUACUGUCUCCUUUUUCUAAUCAGUGAAACUAAUCUCCCCGUGAAGAAGCGGGGAUUAAAAUAUAAGACGAGAAGACCCUAUGGAGCUUUAAACUUAAUAACAAGUACUAUCUUUUAUUUAACUUUCAGAACAUAUACCUUUAUUCUAGUAUUAUGAUUAUUAGUUUUAGGUUGGGGUGACCGCGGAGCAAAAAUCAACCUCCACAUUGAACGGAACUCAUUCCUGAGCAAAAAGCCACGACUUUAAGCACCAACAAAUUGACAUCAAUUGACCCAAUAUUUUGAUCAACGAAC